AGACCUUCGGGUCUAGUGGCGCACGGGUGCGUAACGCGUGGGAAUCUGCCCUUGGGUUCGGGAUAACAGUUGGAAACGACUGCUAAUACCGGAUGAUAUCUUCGGAUCAAAGAUUUAUCGCCCAGGGAUGAGCCCGCGUAGGAUUAGCUUGUUGGUGAGGUAAAAGCUCACCAAGGCGACGAUCCUUAGCUGGUCUGAGAGGAUGAUCAGCCACACUGGGACUGAGACACGGCCCAGACUCCUACGGGAGGCAGCAGUGGGGAAUAUUGGACAAUGGGCGAAAGCCUGAUCCAGCAAUGCCGCGUGAGUGAUGAAGGCCUUAGGGUUGUAAAGCUCUUUUACCCGGGAUGAUAAUGACAGUACCGGGAGAAUAAGCCCCGGCUAACUCCGUGCCAGCAGCCGCGGUAAUACGGAGGGGGCUAGCGUUGUUCGGAAUUACUGGGCGUAAAGCGCGCGUAGGCGGCUUUGUAAGUUAGAGGUGAAAGCCCGGAGCUCAACUCCGGAACUGCCUUUAAGACUGCAUCGCUAGAACGUCGGAGAGGUGAGUGGAAUUCCGAGUGUAGAGGUGAAAUUCGUAGAUAUUCGGAAGAACACCAGUGGCGAAGGCG
rnacentral:rRNA from 1 species